UAGGGAAUCUUCGGCAAUGGACGAAAGUCUGACCGAGCAACGCCGCGUGAGUGAAGAAGGUUUUCGGAUCGUAAAACUCUGUUGUUAGAGAAGAACAAGGACGUUAGUAACUGAACGUCCCCUGACGGUAUCUAACCAGAAAGCCACGGCUAACUACGUGCCAGCAGCCGCGGUAAUACGUAGGUGGCAAGCGUUGUCCGGAUUUAUUGGGCGUAAAGCGAGCGCAGGCGGUUUCUUAAGUCUGAUGUGAAAGCCCCCGGCUCAACCGGGGAGGGUCAUUGGAAACUGGGAUGCUUGAGUGCAGAAGAGGAGAGUGGAAUUCCAUGUGUAGCGGUGAAAUGCGUAGAUAUAUGGAGGAACACCAGUGGCGAAGGCGGCUCUCUGGUCUGUAACUGACGCUGAGGCUCGAAAGCGUGGGGAGCAAACAGG
rnacentral:rRNA from 1 species